AUUAGAAUGGCAGAACAGUGCAUAGGAUUUAAGAUCCUAUUAGGGAGUAUUAAGUAUUUCUUCUAAUA
rnacentral:tRNA from 1 species